rnacentral:rRNA from 1 species
ACAUGCCUACAACAUAGCGUUAAUGCAUUGGAUCCCAUUAGAACUCCGCAGUUAAGCACGCUCGGGCUAUAGUAGUACUGGGAUGGGUGAUCGCUCAGGAAGUCUUAGUAUUUUACAUGCC